CUACAUGUACAUGAAUGACUGUUGUACCAAUGGCAUGGACCAUGCAGGAGUACAAUAAAAAAAAAUAAUGUACUCCUGCAUGGACUUACUUCUCUGACAAAUAACCCUGAUGGGACGCUGGGAGUCGCUGCACAGUGUCUUGAUUCUUCAUUAACAGUCACUAUCUGAAUUGGCUCUUACUCCCCACUAGCCUUGAUCCCAGGCCGCUCUUCAGUGAAGGAGAACCCCCACCAGACCCUAACAGACCCACGCAAGCUUAGGUGUGAGUGCAUGUGUAUACAGAGGGAGCUAGUGCAGGUGAGAUCGAGACACUCUCAAACACUUCCACCAAUCUAAACAAAAGCAAAGACAUUGUUGGAAAGGAAGCUGGAGUCUUUCACUGAUCAUGAUCAAGGCAACUCUGAGCAUUCUCUCGGUAGUGUGACUCUCAGACGGUUUCUUCAAAGGAACCCCUGACCAUGUGUAAGCAGUGUGCUUUCAGAAUGAAUAAUAAUUAUAGUCACUCUCUUGACUUG